rnacentral:rRNA from 1 species
GAUGAACGCUGGCGGCGUGCCUAAUACAUGCAAGUCGAGCGAACGGACGCGAAGCUUGCUUUUCUGAUGUUAGCGGCGGACGGGUGAGUAACACGUGUAUAACCUACCUAUAAGACUGGGAUAACUUCGGGAAACCGGCGCUAAUACCGGAUAAUAUUUUGCACCGCAUGGUUCAAAAGUGAAAGACGGUCUUUCUGUCUCUUCUAGAUGGAUCCGCGCUGCAUUAGCUAGUUGUUAAGGUAACGGCUUACCAAGGCAACGAUGCAUAGCCGACCUGAGAGGGUGAUCGGCCACACUGGAACUGAGACACGGUCCAGACUACUACGGGAGGCAGCAGUAGGGAAUCUUCCGCAAUGGGCGAAAGCAUGACGGAGCAACGCCGCGUGAGUGAUGAAGGUCUUCGGAUCGUAAAACUCUGUUAUUAGGGAAGAACAUAUGUGUAAGUAACUGUGCACAUCGUGACGGUACCUAAUCAGAAAGCAACGGCUAACUACGUG